rnacentral:rRNA from 1 species
AGACAGAGGGUGCGAACGUUGUUCGGAAUUACUGGGCGUAAAGCGCGUGUAGGCGGCUAUGCAAGUCGGGUGUGAAAGCCCUGGGCUUAACCGAGGAAGUGCACUCGAAACUGCAUAGCUCGAGUCCCGGAGAGGAUGGUGGAAUUCUCGGUGUAGAGGUGAAAUUCGUAGAUAUCGAGAGGAACACCGGUGGCGAAGGCGGCCAUCUGGACGGGUACUGACGCUGCGACGCGAAAGCGUGGGUAGCAAACAGGAUUAGAAACCCUAGUAGUCC